rnacentral:snRNA from 1 species
GGAAGAGAGAUCCCCACAUCUACUACCUCAAUGAUCGCCAAAGUUGAUUCAGAUAAUCUAGCUGGCUAGGGGCGUGUCCUCUUCCUCUUUCACUACUUCGUGUGUGUCCCUCUCAAAGCUGUGUACUCAACUGCAGAGGAUGAACUUCCCCAAUAGAGGAUGACCAUUAUUCAGUCAAGUCACUGCAUUCCCCUAGUGGAAUCUCCGAAGAAGAUCUCAAAUCCAUUUGCAAAAGAGCAUAAAUAAGUUAGUGAAGUUUCUAAGACUCCAAAUGAGGUGCUGCAUAGGUAGCAGUCUGCCUUU